rnacentral:rRNA from 1 species
GACGAACGCUGGCGGCGUGCCUAAUACAUGCAAGUAGAACGCACAGUUUAUACCGUAGCUUGCUACACCAUAGACUGUGAGUUGCGAACGGGUGAGUAACGCGUAGGUAACCUGCCUGGUAGCGGGGGAUAACUAUUGGAAACGAUAGCUAAUACCGCAUAAUAUUGAUUAUUGCAUGAUAAUUGAUUGAAAGAUGCUAUUGCAUCACUACCAGAUGGACCUGCGUUGUAUUAGCUAGUAGGUGAGGUAACGGCUCACCUAGGCGACGAUACAUAGCCGACCUGAGAGGGUGAUCGGCCACACUGGGACUGAGACACGGCCCAGACUCCUACGGGAGGCAGCAGUAGGGAAUCUUCGGCAAUGGACGAAAGUCUGACCGAGCAACGCCGCGUGAGUGAAGAAGGUUUUCGGAUCGUAAAGCUCUGUUGAAAGAGAAGAACGGGUGUGAGAGUGGAAAGUUCACACUGUGACGGUAUCUUACCAGAAAGGGACGGCUAACUACGUG